GUGGGGAAUAUUGGACAAUGGGCGCAAGCCUGAUCCAGCCAUGCCGCGUGAGUGAUGAAGGCCCUAGGGUUGUAAAGCUCUUUCAGUGGGGACGAUAAUGACGGUACCCACAGAAGAAGCCCCGGCUAACUUCGUGCCAGCAGCCGCGGUAAUACGAAGGGGGCUAGCGUUGUUCGGAUUUACUGGGCGUAAAGCGCACGUAGGCGGAUCGUUAAGUCGGGGGUGAAAUCCUGGAGCUCAACUCCAGAACUGCCUUCGAUACUGGCGAUCUUGAGUCCGGAAGAGGUGAGUGGAACUCCUAGUGUAGAGGUGGAAUUCGUAGAUAUUAGGAAGAACACCAGUGGCGAAGGCGGCUCACUGGUCCGGUACUGACGCUGAGGUGCGAAAGCGUGGGGAGCAAACAGGAUUAGAUACCCGUGUAGUCC
rnacentral:rRNA from 1 species